rnacentral:rRNA from 1 species
GCGACGCCGCGUGAACGAUGAAGUCCUUCGGGAUGUAAAGUUCUGUCAGCAGGGAAAAUAAUGAUGGUACCUGCAGAGGAAGGCCCGGCAAACUAUGUGCCAGCAGCCGCGGUAAUACAUAGGGGCCAAGCGUUGUCCGGAUUUACUGGGCGUAAAGGGCUCGUAGGCGGCGAUCUAAGUCAGAAUUAAAAGGCAGGGGCUUAACCCCUGUUCGGUUUUGAAACUGGAUCGCUAGAGAUUUAGAGAGGAAAGCGGAAUUAACAGUGUAGCGGUGAAAUGCGUAGAUAUUGUUAAGAACACCCGUGGCGAAGGCGGCUUUCUGGCUAAAAUCUGACGCUGAGGAGCGAAAGCGUGGGUAGCAAACAGGAUUAGAUACCCUGGUAGUCCACGCUGUAAACGAUGUACAUUAGGUAUGGGAGGUAUCGACCCCUUCUGUGCCGAAGCUAACGCGUUAAAUGUACCGCCUGGGGAGUACGAUCGCAAGAUUAAAACUCAAAGGAAUUGACGGGGGCCCGCACAAGCAGUGGAUUAUGUGGUUUAAUUCGACGAUACCCGAAGAACCUUACCAGAACUUGACAUCUGGGGAAUGCUGUAGAAGUACAGCAGUGCCCGCAAGGGAGCCUCAAGACAGGUGGUGCAUGGUUGUCGUCAGCUCGUGUCGUGAGAUGUUAGGUUAAGUCCUGCAACGAGCGCAACCCUCGUGCUGUGUUACUACAUUUAGUUGAGUACUCUCAGCAGACUGCCCGUGGCAAACGGGAGGAAGGUGGGGAUGACGUCAAAUCAUCAUGCCCUUUAUGUUCUGGGCUACACACAUAAUACAAUGGUCGGUACAAAGGGACGCCAACCCGCAAGGGGGAGCAAAUCUCAAAAAACCGGCCCCAGUUCAGAUUGUAGGCUGCAACCCGCCUGCAUGAAGAUGGAAUUGCUAGUAAACGCAGAUCAGAAUGCUGCGUUGAAUACGUUCCCGGGCCUUGUACACACCGCCCGUCACACCAUGAAAGCCGGAAAUAUCCGAAGUCAGCAAGCCAACCGCAAGGAAGCAGCUGCCUAAGAUAGAGUCGGUGAUUGGGGUGAAGUCGUAACAAGGUAGCCGUACCGGAAGGUG